CCCACGAGCAAGCUAAAGCAAUAUUAAAGUCAUCACGACGGCUGUUUAUUUCUCUAAGAACAUUCCUAUGGAACACAGUAUUGAUUCUCAGCAUCGUAGCUAUAUGUGAGACCCUACUGUCCAUGACGAUUAAAAAAACCGUGUUUAUUAAAAUUCAGUCACAGUGGCACAACAUGACACGCAAUUAUAAACACAAAACAGAUGCAACACCAUCUUCACCAUAGUCAGCAGAGAUUGCAAUCUGCAAACCAGGGAAAUUUGUGUCCUUGAUUUAAUGGUUUAAAAUGCAGGAAAGCUGUUUACAUUCACUGUCAAAAUGUUUGCAUUACAUAUGCUCACUGCCCCUGUAGUGAAAAUAUUUCUCCACUAAGAUUGCAGAAUAAGCACAAAAUGAAGACGCACCCCUCUUAGUGGCAAAGAGCUGGCAUAAUGCAUUUCACCUCUCCUCAAACAUUUGUUAAGGGCUCAUCACGCUGCACUAUUUCUUCCCCUUGCCUUGGAUCAGCCUCUUGAGAAAUCAUUUAGCGUCACGCACCCGUUCUCCACCCCCCACUAAUCAAAGAGCCUUUGCACAGUACUACAGACACUGCUUCCAUGUCUCAAAAGCACUAACAAUGCAGAUUUUUUUUUUUUAUUGAAGUCCACUACAGCAGUUCUCCUUUAUCGCAAACUCAAGAUUACUCAACUGCAUUUGGAAAAGAUGCAGGCACCCUCCACGGCACACAUUUGGGAUUGAGUAGAUUCCAGGGGACUAUUCCCAAGAUUAAGCACGUGUGCACACACAAAUCAAGGUCAUGGUAUCUUACACUGACUGUUGGCAGUGUUCGGACACUCUGAUUAAGCACUGAUCACAAAUAAAGCCAUUCUACAGUUAUCUUGCUGAAACGUUCAUCACAAGGAUAAAUUGAGCCCAAUCUAAAGCAACUUCAUGGGUGCAGUGGGAUUUGACAACCACAAAGCAGCUGGCCAGAUAGGGACCUUUAUAUAAACUUCAGAACAACUUUGCCCACCAAGAACCCUUUGUUAUUUUGAUUACAAAUUUUCAGGCUUGAUGACAAUAAACUGUCACAUAAGGAUGCUUCAUUUCUUCCACCAUUUGUUAACAGGAUUUGGAAUUACCUUCAAGCACAGGGUGGGCUGCAAGGGGUGAGGGGGGAGAGACAAAACAAGCAAGUAUAUUGGUGUGUUUCUUUGAGAAGUGUAGGUAGAGAUAUGACAGUUUCUAUGGUAACAACAAGACUUUUUUAUUAGUAACAGAAAAAUAGGUGUUGAGAUAACCUCUUGUAAGCCGUCAGUGCUUAAGUUAUUUCUAGUCUCAGACACUGCUUUCAAUUAAUGCACACUUAAUUUUUAAAUAAUGGGACAACCUUCUUUAGGAGAUAUAUGCUUCUCAGGUGUGUAAUGGAGAAGCGUUGAGUUUCAGGUAUGUAUUAGGAAAAAAUGCUAGAAUGAGUCAGAGGAAAACUAUUCUGCAAGGAAAGAUUUCUGCUUUCUGCGGGAUUCUCACAGCAUUAUUUUUUGUAACACGGUGAUUAAUUUAUUGUUCAUCAAAAGAACCGACUGAUGAGUUGGAACAUUAAGGAAAGUUCAAGUAAACAUAACAAAACUACAGCUUGAUUCCUGAUGAUGUUUUUUGACAUUAAGA
ensembl:lncRNA